AUGUGCUGUACUUGUCAAGUAGUUUUGUUCUUAGUUUCUUCCAUGUUUCGAUCGGCUUCUUCAUGUUCGCCGUUGCGACAGGUCACGUACGGCCUUGUGGUUGUGGGCAAGGGACAUAUCACAUCUGCACGGUACAUGUUGGUGCUGUUGUUGUUAGACUCUUGUGCCUUGCUGCACUGUAAGGUCACGAGAUUUACGAGUACAAUCUCUGUCAUUUCUUUCUGUCGCGACUUUAGCUGCCUGCCUGCCUGCCUCUGUUUGUGCCAUCUUUCCAUCAAUGCUGCAGUACUAGUACGUGCUGUGUCUUGUUCUUUUGGUUGGGAACUCUGGUCUUGUUUGGGUCGACAGAUGGUGAUUGCUGUGGAAACCAGUGGCAGUGGGAAUCUAUGUGUUGGACAAUUUGGCACCGAAGGAAACAGCGCAGAAACUCAACUAAUAGUGCAACUGAAAGGUCCAGUUGCUCUGCUUAACUUGCGCCAGGUGCCUCUGUCGUAA
rnacentral:rRNA from 1 species